rnacentral:rRNA from 1 species
AUUGAACGCUGGCGGCAGGCUUAACACAUGCAAGUCGAGCGGGGGAAGGUAGCUUGCUACCGGACCUAGCGGCGGACGGGUGAGUAAUGCUUAGGAAUCUGCCUAUUAGUAGGGGACAACAUCUCGAAAGGGAUGCUAAUACCGCAUACGUCCUACGGGAGAAAGCAGGGGAUCUUCGGACCUUGCGCUAAUAGAUGAGCCUAAGUCGGAUUAGCUAGUUGGUGGGGUAAAGGCCUACCAAGGCGACGAUCUGUAGCGGGUCUGAGAGGAUGAUCCGCCACGCGUGGACUGAGACACGGCCCAGACUCCUACGGGAGGCAGCAGUGGGGAAUAUUGGACAAUGGGGGGAACCCUGAUCCAGCCAUGCCGCGUGUGUGAAGAAGGCCUUAUGGUUGUAAAGCACUUUAAGCGAGGAGGAGGCUACUCUAGUUAAUACCUAGGGAUAGUGGACGUUACUCGCAGAAUAAGCACCGGCUAACUCUGUGCCAGCCGCCGCCGUAA